GGUUCCGUGGUGUAGUGGUUAUCACGUUCGCUUCACACGCGAAAGGUCCCCAGUUCGAUCCUGGGCGGAAUCA
rnacentral:tRNA from 1 species